CCUUGUAGACACUUGGAUUGAAAAUUCCUUCUAGGAAAAAAAAUAAAUAAACCAUUCACUAAAACAAGAACAACAAAAACCAUUUUCCCAUAGCAAAAACCCAGAAGCCAUUUUUCAUGCCCAAAGAACAUUUGCCAAUGAAACUCCUACAUUAAGAAAUGGGGAAUUCAAUUAAAUGAGAUACUGCCAACGUUUGGAAAUUGGAAGCUGAUUGAAACAAAUAAAAUAUUUCAUACUUUGAGCAGGUUGGAACCAUCCAAAUAGUAAUUUAACCUCAACAAACUGGAGAGAUAAGAAAAUCUGCUAAAUACAUGAGGAUUUAAUGUUAGCUCCAGGUCAAGCAAUUGAUGUCAUGGACAACAAAGUAAACCAUAGAAAAGUUUGCUCAACUUCCUCUUAUUUCUUAUCACAGGUCAGCUUCAAUAUACCGUACUAGGUUUUUCUUUUAAUUCUUUUUUCCAUUUGAGAAAGGUCUGGACAAUCCAGACAUCAAACUCCGGAACCGAGCUACAAUCACCUGCAUACGUACUAAUGGAGCCAAUCCCAAUUAACUGUUGACUUUACUUCUUUAGGUACAGCAACUGGCGUCACUUCAUCAAAUUUAAAACAUAAAAAUGCUUUUUAUAGCUACUCUAGACGAGUAGCAUGCAACCUUUAAUUGAGACCAGAAUCACAAGCGAAGCCUUUUUGUAAACCCAAUUAUCAAGUUCAUCCAACAUAAUAUUUAAGCAGUGGCAACAGAUACAGACGUCCCAAGCACACACCUGAAUUUGAAACUCUUCCAA
rnacentral:misc_RNA from 1 species